GAAAGGGUGGCUCCCGGGGCAGCCGGGGGUGCGAGCGGUACUGGGACGUGCGGGGCAUCCUCUGCGCCGGCUGUCGUCGGGGCGCUGUCGGGCUGGGGCCACCUUAGAGGCACCUGCCGGAGUUUGGAGAGGAGGGAGAGCCGCGGUGCGGGAAGAGUGGGCGCGGAGGCGGCCCGUGGCGUGGGCAGGCGGGCCGGUGCGUGCCCACGGGAGAAGCGCCCUUGCCAUUGCCGGGACGGCUGGGAAGAGAAACUCUGCGUGCGGGACCACGGAAGGGCGGUUUUCCCUUUUCCCUGGGAAGAUCUCCCUCUUCAUUUCGGAGUCUUCUGAAUGGUUUGUUCAACAUCCCUUGUCUGACGUCAGAAUUGUCUUCGCUGGAAAUAGUUGUUGCAUUGCCAGCUCCAUGUUGUGACUUUGGGAAGUGGUAACAGAAAAAUAAUUGCAACCCUGUAAACUAUAUGUAUAUUUAAGCCGUGUAAUUAUUCUGGAGCAGCCCACUUCCAGACUGUGUGGAAAUACCACGUAGAGACAUUCCUGCCCUUUUUCCCUGAAAUGGCAGAAUGAGAAUGGAGUCUCUGGGUCCCUCCUUCUCUAGUCUCAGAGUUCUCUAAAAAAGACAAAACUCAUGAGUUCCAGAGGUCAUGAAGUGUAACUCCCAUGUAAUUUUGCCUCUGUGGUCCUGUACCUGCUUGUUUACCCCGACUCCAGGUACAUUUGUGUGUAGGGAAGGAUGGGGGGCAGAGCCUUUUCCUCCCUUGGCUAUGUAGGGUCCUUUUCCAUCCACUGCCACCGGGGAACAAACUUGCUCCUCUGAGUUGUCUGAGGUAAUACCAAUCUUGCCAACUCCCUUAUUUACUCACUGUGCAGAGUAAGGGGUCUGGGGCUGCCAGAUUUAGAGAUAAAUAUUGUUUCAAUGUUCCCCGCCUCCAUCCACUCGUAUGCACAGUCCUGCACCUGCACUUUGAAAUUCUUAAUUCUAACAUAAUGAUAAAUAGCCCUUCCCCUUUUCAUUGGGCUUUUUUUUUUGUCUCUUUUUUAUUAUUAUUUUUUUCUAAUCUUGAACUGUCGUUACUAUAUAGUGACUUUUGUGUGCGCCUAAAUCGUAGCCACACUCAUGAGGUCUUUUGAAGUCCUUGCCUUUUUUUUUUUUAAAAAAAAAGCAAACCAACUUUGGUAUGCCUUUUUUUUUUUUUUCCCUCCACUUCUUUUCUUUUUUAAAGG